AUUGAACGCUGGCGGCAGGCUUAACACAUGCAAGUCGAGCGGGGGAAGGUAGCUUGCUACUGGACCUAGCGGCGGACGGGUGAGUAAUGCUUAGGAAUCUGCCUAUUAGUGGGGGACAACAUCUCGAAAGGGAUGCUAAUACCGCAUACGUCCUACGGGAGAAAGCAGGGGAUCUUCGGACCUUGCGCUAAUAGAUGAGCCUAAGUCGGAUUAGCUAGUUGGCGGGGUAAAGGCCUACCAAGGCGACGAUCUGUAGCGGGUCUGAGAGGAUGAUCCGCCACACUGGGACUGAGACACGGCCCAGACUCCUACGGGAGGCAGCAGUGGGGAAUAUUGGACAAUGGGGGGAACCCUGAUCCAGCCAUGCCGCGUGUGUGAAGAAGGCCUUAUGGUUGUAAAGCACUUUAAGCGAGGAGGAGGCUACUUUAGUUAAUACCUAGAGAUAGUGGACGUUACUCGCAGAAUAAGCACCGGCUAACUCUGUGCCAGCAGCCGCGGUAA
rnacentral:rRNA from 1 species